rnacentral:rRNA from 1 species
CAGUACCGUGAGGGAAAGGCGAAAAGAACCCCGGCGAGGGGAGUGAAAAAGAACCUGAAACCGUGUACGUACAAGCAGUGGGAGCCUCUUAAUGGGGUGACUGCGUACCUUUUGUAUAAUGGGUCAGCGACUUAUAUUCUGUAGCAAGGUUAACCGAAUAGGGGAGCCGAAGGGAAACCGAGUCUUAACUGGGCGUUAAGUUGCAGGGUAUAGACCCGAAACCCGGUGAUCUAGCCAUGGGCAGGUUGAAGGUUGGGUAACACUAACUGGAGGACCGAACCGACUAAUGUUGAAAAAUUAGCGGAUGACUUGUGGCUGGGGGUGAAAGGCCAAUCAAACCGGGAGAUAGCUGGUUCUCCCCGAAAGCUAUUUAGGUAGCGCCUCGUGAAUUCAUCUCCGGGGGUAGAGCACUGUUUCGGCAAGGGGGUCAUCCCGACUUACCAACCCGAUGCAAACUGCGAAUACCGGAGAAUGUUAUCACGGGAGACACACGGCGGGUGCUAACGUCCGUCGUGAAGAGGGAAACAACCCAGACCGCCAGCUAAGGUCCCAAAGUCAUGGUUAAGUGGGAAACGAUGUGGGAAGGCCCAGACAGCCAGGAUGUUGGCUUAGAAGCAGCCAUCAUUUAAAGAAAGCGUAAUAGCUCACUGGUCGAGUCGGCCUGCGCGGAAGAUGUAACGGGGCUAAACCAUGCACCGAAGCUGCGGCAGCGACACUAUGUGUUGUUGGGUAGGGGAGCGUUCUGUAAGCCUGUGAAGGUGGCCUGUGAGGGUUGCUGGAGGUAUCAGAAGUGCGAAUGCUGACAUAAGUAACGAUAAAGCGGGUGAAAAGCCCGCUCGCCGGAAGACCAAGGGUUCCUGUCCAACGUUAAUCGGGGCAGGGUGAGUCGACCCCUAAGGCGAGGCCGAAAGGCGUAGUCGAUGGGAAACAGGUUAAUAUUCCUGUACUUGGUGUUACUGCGAAGGGGGGACGGAGAAGGCUAUGUUGGCCGGGCGACGGUUGUCCCGGUUUAAGCGUGUAGGCUGGUUUUCCAGGCAAAUCCGGAAAACCAAGGCUGAGGCGUGAUGACGAAGCACUACGGUGCUGAAGCGACAAAUGCCCUGCUUCCAGGAAAAGCCUCUAAGCAUCAGGUAACAUCAAAUCGUACCCCAAACCGACACAGGUGGUCAGGUAGAGAAUACCAAGGCGCUUGAGAGAACUCGGGUGAAGGAACUAGGCAAAAUGGUGCCGUAACUUCGGGAGAAGGCACGCUGAUAUGUAGGUGAAGCGACUUGCUCGUGGAGCUGAAAUCAGUCGAAGAUACCAGCUGGCUGCAACUGUUUAUUAAAAACACAGCACUGUGCAAACACGAAAGUGGACGUAUACGGUGUGACGCCUGCCCGGUGCCGGAAGGUUAAUUGAUGGGGUUAGCGGUAACGCGAAGCUCUUGAUCGAAGCCCCGGUAAACGGCGGCCGUAACUAUAACGGUCCUAAGGUAGCGAAAUUCCUUGUCGGGUAAGUUCCGACCUGCACGAAUGGCGUAAUGAUGGCCAGGCUGUCUCCACCCGAGACUCAGUGAAAUUGAACUCGCUGUGAAGAUGCAGUGUACCCGCGGCAAGACGGAAAGACCCCGUGAACCUUUACUAUAGCUUGACACUGAACAUUGAGCCUUGAUGUGUAGGAUAGGUGGGAGGCUUUGAAGUGUGGACGCCAGUCUGCAUGGAGCCGACCUUGAAAUACCACCCUUUAAUGUUUGAUGUUCUAACGUUGGCCCGUAAUCCGGGUUGCGGACAGUGUCUGGUGGGUAGUUUGACUGGGGCGGUCUCCUCCUAAAGAGUAACGGAGGAGCACGAAGGUUGGCUAAUCCUGGUCGGACAUCAGGAGGUUAGUGCAAUGGCAUAAGCCAGCUUGACUGCGAGCGUGACGGCGCGAGCAGGUGCGAAAGCAGGUCAUAGUGAUCCGGUGGUUCUGAAUGGAAGGGCCAUCGCUCAACGGAUAAAAGGUACUCCGGGGAUAACAGGCUGAUACCGCCCAAGAGUUCAUAUCGA